ensembl:lncRNA novel transcript
UUGAAGACCCCACCCCUAGAAGAGUUCACUAGGAAGAAGGCCCAACCAGGGCAGAGGACCCAGAGGAGAAACCGGACAAGCCUAUGGUAGGCAAAAGCCAGAAGACCAUGAUCAGGGCUUCCUGGAGAAGCCAGUGCAGAAAGGAGUGGGAGAAGAGGGAUCCACCUCACUCUGUGCUGCCACCCGUCCCCCCACAAGGCAUGGGAUGAAAACAGUAGCAGAAAGGACUCAGAUUGGUGGACAGGAGGAACUUCCCCCUUGGCAAAAUUUUAGGAAAAGGCAAAACCCCAUCUGCCUGAACUAUUCCAGAGAUGCGAGUUCGGUAUCCUGUGGUGGCUGCAGUCUUGGCCCCAUACCUGGCUUUAAGCCAAGAUCCAAUGGUCAAGUCUUCUGCUUCUGGACAGGGUGCCUCUGGGAGCUACAACCACGUCCGUGAAGAGAUGCUCAUCAAGGCUGGCGGUGGUGGGGGCGGGGGGUGCAGGCAGUGUGGCAUUGAGGCUCCUCCCAAAAACAUUCCAACGUCCAGAAAGCUUUCAGUCUGUUAGGCUCCACAAUCCCCUCAGCCUGGGUCUCUGUGGAGAAUUCAGGCCCCAAAUCCUAGCCACUUACAUUAAACAGCAUUUUACACAGCAAAAUAA